GACACUAAGAAUGUCUCAUCAUUUCUACUCAAUGUAGUAGUCAAUAGCAGAGAUACAGACCAGCUACUCUGAGGACUUAAAAGCAGUGUCAUGGCUUCUUCUUUGUUAAUUGGGUCUGAGGCACUUAGCAGCAUCUCACAUCUGCAUAUGAGAUUCUGUUUUCUAAAGAUCAUUCAACAAUCCAUGUAACUGAGCUGAGUCUUGGUCCAGGACAUGGUGGUGGUGGUGGGGGUACAGAUAAGCCUGAAGAAUCUUAAAUCCAGAAAGUAGAACAGCUUAAAAAAUAAUGAAGACCUGUCAAAAUGACACAGACCUCACUGUAAAAAUGGCUUCCCAUGGCCAAAUCCAUGAUAUAUUAAGCAUCAAAAUAAACAGGGGUGGUAAUAAAAUAAAGGAAGCAAUAUCUUGGGUCUGAGGACUGGAUUUUGUUUUGUUUUGUUUUAUUUUUUAGCUUUGUAAGAGAUGAGGAAUCUGCACUCAAAAUGAAAAACCUGAAGCUCUAUUAAGAAGUGAGAUAAAUUUGGGGUCUCCAUAUACCUUUGUUAUAAAAAUAUGUAUUGAUUUAAAACAUGAUUUAGAAGACCUCACUGCAAGGGAGCCUGGAAGAAGUCAUCUUGAUCAAGUAGCCAGAGAAACAACUCUUUAAGGGGAUUGCUUAUCUGAGCAGCCUGAUAAAUGACAUUCGUUAAACUUUUUUCCAUUGUGUGACAAAAUACCUCACAAAAACUCCUCAAGGUAAGGUUUAUUUUGGGGUCUCAUUUUUUGAUGGACAGCCCAUCAUGGUGGGGAGGGGAUGGAGGCAGGAGAAUAAGGCAGCUGGUCACAUUGUAUCCACAGUCAGGAAAGGAAGAGACAUAAUUACUGGUGAUCAGCUCACUUUCUCUUUGUGACACCAUCUAAGACUCCAGCAUAGAGAUGGUGCCACCCAGAGUGGGCAAGUCUUCCCACAUCAGGGAAACCUCCAUGAAAUAGCCUUCACAGACAUGCUAAGAAGUGUGUCUCCUUAGGUGAUUUAAAAACCAGUCAGGUUCACAAUGAAGAACCACCACAGUCAUGAAAAGUCCAGUCUGCACCUCCAGCAAUGUCAAGGCGAUGAAACUCAAAGAAAGACUGAGAAAAGUAAAGAAACAUGACAAGGGUGGAGAGACAGCUCAGUGGUUAAGAGCACUGGCUGCUCUUCCAGAGGACCUGAGUUUAAUUUUCAGCACCUACCUGGCAGCUCAUAACCUCUUGUAAUUCUAGCUCUAGGGAUCCAUCGCCCCCUUCUGGCCACUGUGGUACUGCACUCAGGUGCAUAGCCACCCAUACAAAUGCACACAGUACAUACAUAAUUUAAAAAACAAAUGAGUAAAUAAAAAGAAAUCAGGACAACUAAAUAGCACAUGAAGUUCUGAGGUUUGUUUGUUACAAGGGACAGCACUGACCCAAGUGAAGCAACACCUUGGGUCUCAGGACCGGAUUUUUUUUUGUUAUAGCUUUGUAAGAGAUUGUCUUUGUUUUUAAGAAAAAAAUCAAAGAGCAUUUGGAAUGCCUCAGGAAGUCUUGGCUAUUAAUUUGAAGGGAGCCUCUGCAAGGUCAUGGCAAAGGACACAGUUCUGUGACCAUGUGAACGGGGUGGGUGGGAGGUUCCCCACCUCAGAGGCAGCUGGUGUUGCCUAAAGGUGGUGGGAAUUUAGAAGGAAGGACUUUCCCUGUAUCAUUUAUGGAGAAAGCCAACAGCCCCAAACUCAAGUGAUGGUGUUAACGGUGAACAGAAGAGUGAGAUGCCAAAGAGAAAAAACUCUUCUGUGCCUAGAGUCCAGCCCCCAAGGACCCUCUGUUAGCCAAGGCUAUCCAGGAUCAGAAUGAAUGGGCGUGCACAGGGGGUUUGUCUUGAAGAACCAACUCACACAAAGAAAGAGGCAACUGGGGCCAAUAGCUGCCACCCAUCUUCAGGGGAGCCCAAAGCUGCAAUUCAAAAUCCCAAGUUUGCCUUUGUCAGGGACGCCAUUCUGUUGGUAUAAUGACGACUUCACUUCCCUGGAUGGAGGCUCAUCUACAUCCAAGAAAUCCUUAUAUGUACUCAGAGUCUACUAAUGUAAACAUUAAACCCAUUCUUUAAGACCCCAAAUAAAACCCAGAAUAAUAUCUGACCAAAUAUUUGGGUUCUGUAGCUCAGCCCUAUUGACACAUGAAUGGCAGAACCGAAAACCUCAGGAGUUGGGGGUGGUGUCUUUAAUAGACUGGGGGAGAGAGUGUUGCCUUCAAAGCUAGACAGAAACCUCUUAGGCAAAGCCACUAAACGUUUCUCCUCACAGACCCAAUGUUCAAAGACAGGGCCAUAGACUGGGUGUCAACUGAGCAGCAGAAGGAAAGGGUGGAUUCCAGCUAGGAAAGGGUACUUUACCAGGACCUGUAUAUCUAGGAUAAAAAUGUUUGAAUUUGAAAAGAAAUGAGAAAAGUCUGCUGUGAGUCAAUUCAUUAAUGAAAUGGGAACCCGGGGCUGUGUACUGACCCAAAACAUUUACAUAAGUUGAAGGAAAAGAACACACUGCUACUCAGAAAACCAAAGAUGCUACAUAAACCUGGGGCAGAACAAAUCGUCCCAGAUGGAGACUUCUCCCAGGGUAUGAGGAUGGCAGCGGGGAGCCUUGGGGGCUGCUUGUGUAUAUCCAAGGCUUUAGGAAUCCAACCACAGUCCUUUGUAGUCCUGGGUGGGAGAAAAGAGGAGAUGGGAAGAGGGAUCUUUCCAUUCUGCAGGGAAGGGUCAGUGAUGGGAGAGCCUGGUCUACAGCCAGAGCUGGAGCCACGCCAAAUGGGAGCAUGAAUGAAUGAAUGAUUUCCAAAGCAAACAGAACCCUCUGAGUGGGAGUGUGCUGGGUAGUAGAGAAGUGUGUGUGUGUGUGUGUGUGCGCGUGCGCGUGCGCGCGCGCACACACAUGUUAGGUAUGUGUCUGCAUACAUGAAGAGGUCAGAGGUCAAUUGUAGGUAUCAUUCCUCAGCUAUUAGACAUAUUUUCUUUUUGAGAUAAGAGCCUCUUACUGGCCUAGAACUCACUGAUUUGACCAAGCUGGCUGACCCUUGAGGCCCAAGGUUCUUCCUAUCUCUGACUCCCAGGCACUGGGAUUACAACCCCUACCACACAGAGUUCUCUCUGUGGGUGCUGCAAGAAUCAGUCUUCAGUCCUCCCGCUUGUGUGGCGAGCACUUCACGGACUGAGCCAUCCCACAGUUCCUGGAGACUCCUAGGAAGUGGCUGUUUAUGCAUGAGCAUGGGAAUCCAGCUGCCAUCCUCCCCUCCCAACCCUACCCCCAGGAAGAAAGCUUCUCUGCCUUGGCAGUUAUCAUUUGGCUUUUGUUCCUUUGCUGCUUGUGAGACACUUGGCUUCACCACAGAGCAUCUAGUCCCCUUUAAAGAAAAUUUUCUAAACAUCAUCCCUUUUUAAAACUGAAAACAUGUAUUUUAUGUGUACAAAUGUUUUGCCUGAAUUGAAAGUGCAUACCCCACACAAGCCAGAAGAGCGCAUGGGAUCCUCUGGAGUUGAGACAGUUGUGAGCCACCAUGUGGUUGCUGGGAACUGAACCCAGGUCCUCUGCAAAAGCAGCCAGUGCUCUUGACCCCCGAGCCAUCUCUCUAGCUUCAAAUCUCUGUACAUCGUUCUUCUUUCCAUACUCUGUCCUAGUGACUAGAAUGGAGCUAAGCUUGUGCCUCAAGCUCCAGAGACUGACCUGGCCAAUCAGAAACUCCCACCCCUGCUCCUUUAACAUUGAGAGGCUCAAGUGUGGGCAACUACUGUCGAUCGACUCACACCUGAAAUUUCCACAUUUAUUUAAGAAGUCACCGUCUUUGGGCUGGGUGUGCUGUACAGAAGGAACAUAAGUAUCAGGUGAGCUUCAGGACACAGAGGCAACUGCCCCACCAAGAAGUCAAAGCCACCCAGAGAAGACAAAAAAGCAUCCUGUGACAUUGCCCGAUUCCUGGAUCCAAGUGUCCCUGAAGCUCACAAGGAUCCUUCAGGUAGCACUAAUACACAGCCCCAGAUGCAAAAUUGGAGGGUUUUGUUUUGUUGUUUUAGUUUUUGCCUUUUCAACGGAAGAUGCUGUAACUGAAAACUGAAUAACUCCACACUUAUCCACAGGUCACCACCAUACAGGAGCAGGUAAGUGGCCUCACUGGCUAGACACAAAAUCAUUCUUUCCCAUGAAAACAAAAUGAUGAAACAAUGUUUCUAAGGCUGAUACUAUCCAGAGUAGGUGUGUGUGUGUGUGUGUGUGUGUGAGUGAGUCCAUGAUCUUUUAUUUUGUUGUUGUUUUUCUAAGGAUCAUUGCUAAGAUCUAAUUCAAUAACAAGAGUAGAAAUUAGCACUGUGCGCACACGUGUGGAUGUGUGUUCUAGACAAGGUGACCAUCUUCAAAGUUUCUUUAGUUUGAGAAUAUAAGAAACACUUAUUGCCUCACAGAGUCCCUAAUGGGUCACCACAUGCCAAGGCAGGUUAACAUUGUAUUAACAUUUUCACAGACAUGGUAAGGAGACACAAGGGAAAGCAGAUAUGAUCAUUAAAGAUGGGGGUGGGAGGAAUGGUUUAGCAAAACAAACAAAAGGAGUUCAUUGCAGAAUGGAUGAGAAAAUUAGCUAACAGGCAUAGCCCAGGGCUGCUCUGACCACUUUGAUGGUCCUGAAAAUUCAGAGGGAAAGUAGCGCUUACAAAGGGAAGUAAUAAUGCUAGGGUGUGGCUUUCUCCCAUGGGAUGGGUAUCAAGUUGGGCCAAUCAUUGGUUGGCUAUUCCCUCAAGGUCUCUGCCUCUGCUGCCUGCCUUUGGAUCUCCUUUCCCUAGCUGGGCUGCCUUGUCAGGCCUCAGUGAGAGAGGAUGCACUUGGUCCUCCUGUAACUUGAUGUGCUAGAGCCUGGGUGGUACCCAUGGAGGACUUCCCUUUCUCCACAGAGAAGGGGAGGAGGUAAGUGUGGGGGGGGGAGCGUUUCUGAGGGUGGGGCUGGGAGGAGAGGAAGAGGAGGGAGCUGAGAUUGGGAUGUGAAGUGAAUAAAUCAGUGGAAAACCAAAAAGAAAGGAAGAGCUGGGGGUGGUGGUGGCAGUCGAUGUAUUUUAGGACAACAUACCCCCCCCCCCCACACACACACACCUAUGUCUGUGGCAGAGGAACACUGAUUGAAUCUUUUCUUUUCCUUCUGAUGUCACUAAGUGCACUGUUCAGUUUGUUUCAACAUCACGCUCAGGCCUUUUAAAAACAUCCCACUGUGAUGAGACUGUCUUCUAUGAUUCCCUUUCUGGUUAGUGUUAACAAGACCGAUGACAACAGCAAGUGUUCUGAACUCUUUUAACUACGUGUGAUGGCUUGAUGGCCCUGGAAGACACAUCUCUUCUCCAAGCCAGUCAGCACAUCCUUACUUAGGAAAGGGUGGGUCCUGUGGAUGCCAUUAUGUUGAGAAAUUGCAAACACCCUGGGUUAGGUGGGCCUUGCAUUCAAUGUCAGUUAGCCUUAUAAGGCAGAACGGGAGGGAGUGGAGAGAUGGCUCAGUUAGCGCAGGGCUUGCCUUGCAAGCAUGGGGACCUCAGUUCGAAACCUGUAUGAGAAGCCAGAAGUGGUAGCUUGUGAUUGCUUUUCUGGUGCUGGGGAGGCAGAGUCAGGGGUGAAUCACUGGGGUGCAGCCAGACUAUUCUAACUUGGGAGUCCCAGGCCAGUGAGAUGGUGUCUUAUCAUACAAUGUAAAAAUCACCUGAGGUUGAUUCCCCCCAACCCCUUUCACUCCUCCUACCCUAUACACAAAGAUGGAAGAGGAGGGACCUACCCAGAAGCCAGCCACAGGACCACAGAGACUGAGAAGGGGGUGAUGCAACCACAAAGCCAGGCAUCACUAGAGAUUCCAGAAGCUGGAAGAGUCAAGAAAGCAUCCUAAGAACUCAGGGAAAGGCAUGGUCCUGCAGGGACCAUGAUUUUAUACUCUGGCUCCGAGACAGAAUUAAUUAUCUCUUAAGCUGUAGAUUAGGAGGCACAGAGGCUGCCCCCUAUGUGGUGUCUUGUCAUGCCAGCCCUAGGAGUCAGAGGUUACAUGUCUUAGCUCACACACCUCUGUCCUGAAGACAUAAGAAGCAGGUGUGAUUCUUCAUACACUAAAAUCCGGGGCUCAGAACAACUGUGCUGAUGGCAACAGCCACGCCCAUAAGGUCUCUAUGCUGGGAGAACAACGUCCAUGGAUUUUGCUUAUAGCAUCUACCCACCCUGUUCUGGUAACAAAUGGCUUUAUGGUUCCCCUCUGGGAAAGAUACUCUGAAUAUGGCAUGGUGGUGCUAUCAGUCAGACUGUCCCAUCUGGUUCUAAUAUAGCAGUCCUCAAUCGUCCUAAUGUUGCAACCCUUUAAUACAGUUCCUUAUGUUGUGAUGACUCCCCCAAACAAAAAAUUAUUUCAUAACCAUAAUUAUGCUGUUACAAAUUGUAAUGUAAAUAUCUUAUAUUCAGGAUACCUGAUGUGUGAACCCUGUGGAGUCUUGACUCACAGGUUGAGAACCACUUCUCUAGACGGAGGCCAACUCUCUGAUCAAGCCACUGCCCAUCUACACUGUAGAAUUACUGAAGAUUUUAGGCAGUUUUCUUCAGUUUGUUUGAUUUGUAGUACUACAAAUAGAACUCCAGCAUACCAGGCAAGGCCCUACCAAUGAGCUACAUCCCCAGCUCUGCGGGAGCUUCUAAAGAAAUAAAAAUGACCACACACACGACUCUCAAGUUCAGUGUAGCCCUGAGGGUCUUCAUCCCAAGAAUCUACAUCCUGAAACAGAUGAAAAUCACUGAAAAUGAUAAAAAUCACUGAAAAUGAUAAAAAUCACUGAAAAUGACCAAAGUUCCCACAGCAUCUGAGCAACGAUGCCCCGUGGAAGGCAGGUGUGUUUGAUAGCCAUGGGGGCCCUACAGUGGAUUGCAUGCCGUGCCUAUGAGGCCUCUAGAUUUCAGGGCUGUCUUUGCAGUUCCUCCAGGAAUGGGCAGAACCGAGGCCCAGAAUGAAGCUGCCCUUUCAGGGCAACGAAGUCUGACCUCAAUUAGCCUAUAAGUGAUACUUCUCCACAUGGAUUGAAGAACGUGAGUCUUAUGUAGAAAGGACAUCAAAAUCUCUGGUGGCUUCGGGAUCCCAACAUUUCAGAGUCCUACUGUAUUGCUAGCAACUGUCAUGGGGAAAAGGAUGUGUGUACGUUGCAAAAGAUGGGAUAUCGGUCUCUGAAGAGUAGCAUAACCCAUUCUCUUGGAAAUUUUGCUAACUCAGACUCUGUAUUGACCUUCCUGGUCUCCUAGAGGCAGCAACUUCUAAAUCCCCAGGGUGCUUAAACAAGAGAACUGAGUAAAGGUAGGAGACAGCAUAAAGACUCAUAGGGAUGCCCAAAAAUGCCUGGUCAGAAACAAGUGCAAGCUGAUUAAAUGUGAUUUUUCACCCUCCAAUAAACUACACCAACAAUCCUUAAUCAACAAUUCUCUUAGUGACAUCUAAUACACAAAAGUGCACCCACUUCAAAAUGAUUUUGUGUAGGGAAAAAAAAAACGGUCCCGGAAAUAUACUCUUUUAAGAUUAGUAUAAAGCCUACGGAGCAGUAUAAUGCAGCUUGAAUAUAAGCUUUGAUGAAUUAAAGAUGCAUUUUGUAAACCUUAGGGCAAUGGGUAAAGCUGAAUCGGAAGCACAAAUGAGCCCAUAAAGGAGAUAAAAUGGAAUCACAGAAAAUGCUUAACCCUACAGCAGAAAAAGACACAGGAAGAAUAAGCAGCAGAAAGGACCUGAAGCGAAGCAGUGUGCACAGUGUCAGCUCCUAAUGUAAAUGUGCAGAUAAUUACAUUACAUAUAAAUGGUGUAAACAUGGUAAUUAAAAGACAGAGAUUAGUGUACUCGAUAAACAAAGGAAAGCCCAACUGUAUGUACUUCGUAAACUAUCAACAGCAAAUACAAAAGACAAUGAUUUGGGACUUGGAAACAUGGCUCAGUGGUUAAGAGUACGGGUGUUUUUCCAGAGGACCUGGAUUUGACGCCCAGCUCUGAAUGGCAGUUCGAAACCCUCUGUAAGUACAGAUCCAAGGGAUCUAACAACCACUUCUGGCCUCCAAGGGUACUGAACUCACAUGUACUUGAUGGCCCCAGUGUCUAGAGAUUCUUGUGACCUUGGCUUAGGGGAUGAUUUUCUGGAAUUGGCAACUAAGACACAAUUGUUAAGAGACUUUUUCAUUAAGAUUUAAAAUCUGAUUUUCCCAGGACAACUGGAGAGAAACAUAUUCCAAACACAGCUUGAUAAGGAUUCAUGUCUAGAACACAUACAUACACUGCCUAAAAGACCAUCAGUAAGAAAGGAAACCACCACCAUUUUAAAGUGGGUAUGCAAUAUUUGAAUGGGUCAUUUCACCAAAGGAGAUGUAUGGACAGUCAUGAAAUCCAUAAUUGCUAAGACCCACCUUAUAUGCCAUAGGAAUGAGGAUAAGUUAAAUGCCAAAGUAGUCAAGAAAACAUAAAAUGUAAAAACAUCCUACAGAGGGGCUGUGAGAGGGCUCAGCAGGUAAGGCGGCUUGCUACCAAGCCUGACAAUCUGUGAGUUCUGCCUCUGGAAUCUGAAGGGUGGAAACGUGAGAACCUGGUCCUCUGGGUAGCCCUCUGACCUCCACGUGUGUGCACCUACAUAGAUACAUGCACACACCAAGAGGAAAUAGUUUUAAAAUCCCAAAGAAGAACGGGUGGUGGUGCACACCUUUAAUCCCAGUACUUGGGAAGUAGAGGCAGGUGGAUCUCUGUGGGUUGGAGACCAGCUUGGUCUACAGAGAGGGUUCCAGGACAGCCAGGACCACAUAGAAAGACCCUGUCUCCAAAAACCAACAACCAAAAACCACCCAACCACCCAACAAUCCAACCAAGCAACAACAACAGCCCAAAGUAAUUUGUAGUACUUGGCUAUUCCAAGUAACCAAAUAACAAUAAUAUGUAGUGGGACAGAUGACCUGGCUGAAGGGAAACAAAAUGUCCAAGUUACCAAAUCACUCAGCAUCACCCAAGGCCUAGAUACUCAUCCAGGAGGAACAAAUCCAUACCACCUAGAAACCUGUCUCUGAAUAUUCACAAAUUUUCCAUAAUUGCUAAGACCCGGAGUCCUUCAUUUGAGCAACAAACUGUUGCAGUCAGUCAAGGGAAUAUUACUCUGCAUUAAAAAGGAAUGCCCACUGUCACUGAGGCAAAGCUGAGUAUGGAAGGCACUGUGCUGAUUUGAUAGCAGCAGAUCUGAAAGCCAGGCACAGUGUGAGCCCAUCACCGUGUUAUGGAAACAGGAAAUGUCCAGAGACCAAAAAUCACGUCAGGGACUGUGGAUGGUGAAAGGAGAUGGUACAGGGUUUCUGAAGAUGAUCCAAAAGUUGAUACAUUUAUAUAUGUUUGUCAAAACUUAUAACUAUCUACUUUAAAUGGGAAAAUUUCAUUGUAUGCAUUUUUUCCUUAAUAAACUUGGCUUUAGAACAAAGGGGAUAACCAGGGUCUGGUGGGAUUGCUCAGUGGUUAACAGUACUGGCUGCUCUUCCAGAAGACCUGAGUUCGAACACAACACCCACAUGGUAGCACAAAAAAAAAAAAAAAAAAACUGUAACUGUUGUUCCAGGAGAUCCCACACCUUCUUCUGGCCUCCAAGAGAACCAACUGCACAUAUAGUAUACAGAUUUACAUAUGGGCAAACACUAAUACACAACAAUAAAAACAAAAAAAUAAGCUUAUGUAUAGCUUGUGGCAAAUAGAAGAUCAUUUCUUGUAAUUUACUCAGAUAAUCUGUAUGCAGUUGUGCAGUGUAGUUUAGGAGCCUGACAUAGAUGCUACAGGGGGGAAAAUGAAUUUUUACGUGACUUCUCCCAUUUUUAAAACUAUAAAUGUAUUUUAUUUAAUUACAGGAAUACUCCCAUUAAGAACAAAAACGAACAAAAACACUGAAAAUCUGCAGUCUUUUGCAAGCAUCCUGUGGAUAGUCCAAGUCUGAUGAGAGCCAGGUUGGGGGGGGGGUGAACAGGGGCAAGCCAAAGCCUGGUGGGGGUUCCAGGGACCUUUGAACAUCUGUCACACAGGGGGAUGCUGUGUGGCAGAUGAGAAAGGAUGGCCCAAGGUCUUGGUCUCCAAAGACAGCAUGGCCGUGGGCAGGGGAGAAGAACCUUUUUUACCGGUAAUUCCCAGAGUGCUAAGAGGCCAGAGAAGUGUUUAUCAUUCCUUUCUUCCUUCCUUCAGUGGCCAACACUGAUCUUAAAGCUAUUUCUAUUCUCCAAAGCCUCCUCCAAUCGAAGGCUCCUGAGCUUCGUUCACCACCGUUGAUUCGUCCGUGUACAGCUUACAGCCCACACCUCCAUAGAGGCCUCGGUCCACCUGGCCGUGUGCACAUCUCAAUAUCAGUGGACCUUCCAUCGGGUUCCGGUGAGCUGGAAUCCACAGCCCAAACCAGCUGUCUCUGGGGCCCGUCCACCUAAUCAGAAGCCAUCAGAAGCCCACAACCCUUUCCACCUGCCUUUGAGGGUUGACGGGUGUAGAAGCGGGUGUUUCAGCUCAAGGGAGCCUUAGGGAGAGAGCCCUUCCUUUCAAUGCACUGUCCUAUUUAUGAAAACUCCAGAGCACAACUGUGCUUUCUGUAACCCCUGAUGUGUUGCAAAGCUUCAGAACUAACCGUCAAAAACACACACUUGGUUGGUGGCCGAUGACUGGACAGAUUUCCAAGGUUCCAGAAACAUGCGCAGAGACCCUUGUAUAGUCAAAGUCCCUGGUGGCAUAGCUGUUUUUAAGACAGUGGAAAUUUAAACAAGGGUGAGAAGGUGUUUGUUUCUGUCAAACAUGCUGUGGAGGAGCCGGGAGGUGGCUCAGGGGUAGACUCACGCAUGCGCGUGUAUGCAGGAGGACCUGAAUCCCAGACUCAGGAAAACAGAAAAGCGAGGCAGGUGAAGCAGGCUGGCUUCCCAGCGCUUAGGAGGCAGUAAUGCACAGGGCAGGGCUGGAAGGAACUUAAUGAGGGAACUUCCCCGCCAGAUGAGAAGCUCUGUCUCAGAAAAAAACAAAAAACCCUCCGUGGAGACGGACUGCGGAAGACAGCGAGGAUUGAUCUCCUGUCUCUACACAUAGGUGCGAACACACACCCGCUUGCACACGCACGCACGCACGCGACAUCUUACAGAGUAAACACCAGGCUGGGUUAGGAAGACACCGGGGACGAACUGUAGCUUUCAUCAGCCAUACAAAGUGAAAACACAUUUGGCAGACGGGCUUCCAGAACCAACCUUAGAAGCCCUCCCCACUUCCCACCCCCAACAUGGUGAAGUCUAGCAAAUCCAGGUGUCUUGGUGGGGAGGGGGGCGCUUUGCAUCACAUGGGCUUUCCCAGCCCUGCAACCUCCACCAUGCCAGCCCCACCCCAGCGCCUUCAAUCGCCAGCCAGCCCAAGGUCUAAAACGGCCACCGCAAUAACAGCCGCUUCUUAGUCAGAAGCGAAAUCUGGGUCUCUUUCUCUCUUUCUUUCUAACUCCCCAUUAAGCCAUUUGGUGAUCAGAAUCCGCGGGGAGGUGUGUACCGAGAGCCGCCUCUGGGCUAAUAGCAGAACACAGAUACAUUUCCAGCCCAUCCUUGGAACCCCGGACAGGAGUGAGGUCUCGACAUCUGUGCGGGGCGGAUUAGAGCGAAUCCUCAGUCCAGUCCGUGUCAAAGGCUGAGCUUGAACCCGCCUCGCUGCGGGAGGGCUCAGGACUCCGGGGAACAUCCGGGCUUAACCCACCGCACGCGAAAACCCCUUCAGGGCGCCCCCGCGACCGCACCCCGUAGCUCGCGGACCCUAAAUGCCUGAAGCCAGCGGCUCCGAUCUUCCAGUCCUGCCUGCCGCCGACCGGGCUCACAGAAGAGUAAUAAUAUGACUUAGCGACCUUAAGCAGCAGCGAGCGCUCUGGCCAGGCUGCGUCAGCCGGUUUGCACAAGUCUCCAGAAACCUGCAGAGUCCGGAUUCCCACGGCCCCCGGAGCAAAGGACCGAAGUGGGAGCCUAACGGCGAGUCGCUGGAAACCAGAGCGGUCCGAUGCUUUCAAUGCCACCGUUCGGUCUAAUGUAGGGCGGAAAGUCUCAGAUGGAGGCUCUAAGAUGGGACCCGGAUCUCGCGCCGCUCUCUCCACCCUCGCCCCGGCUUUCCCGCAGCCUACUAGGGGACCUGGAGGUCCCCGCCAGCGCCCGCCUUACCUUGGCCCAGUAGCGUGGCUAGGACCAGGCUCAGCGCC